UAAGCGUAGAGGAGUUGAAAAUUUCUUGUGACUAGCAAUGGCUCAAGUAGAUGAUUACCUUCGGAAACAAGCUGCUGAAUUGUUGCAAGCUAUGAAUGGGGGAUACUAUAAAGAGGACAAUAUCCCCUGCCAGAUUGAAGAGGGUCUCUUCUUGGGUUCUUUUGGAGCUGCAAAUGACGAGGAAGAACUGAACAGUACUUUUCCCACUUCAUUAUGGCCCGUUCUCACCAGCCUUUACAUCAUGACAAUCCCUCAGAACUCCAUAUAAGUAUCUAAUGCCUUGAACCUAUGAGCGUUUCUGAACCCUGUAAAACAUAAGUUUGAUAUUGUUUCAAGCAAAGGUGGACUUCUGGAACUGAAAUUUCUUUUUACUUUAUGAUGCUUUUUCAAAAUUGAGGUAGUUUCUGACGGACCAAGUACGAACAUAAAACAGCACUUUGAUGAGUGUUUCGAUUACAUUGAGGAAGCUAAAAGAUCUGGUGGCAGUGUGCUGGUUCAUUGCUUUGUGGGAAGAUCCAGAAGGGGCAAUGAUGGCUUUGCUUCGAAAUCUUGAUCAUUGCAUCUCAAGCUAUUCAUCUGUUAUACGAAAAUUUGAGAUAGAGGAUGCAGAGGAAUGCUUCAAACUUUUUUCUUUGGAAGAGGCGGCUAAAUUUGACGAAGUGACCCUUGCCAAUGUGAACAACUUCAAAAAGCGCUCAAAAAGCCAGUCACCUAAUGCAAUCCACAAAGAAUAUAUAGUGCUAAGAUCCAGAUCAGUCUGCAUCAUUUCUAUUGUUUUGAUUUGAGUUGGCUAGUUCUAGGAUGGUUCAGCACACAGGCUUGGAAAUGUUAUUCUUUUCUCUCUCAUUGAAUUUUGAUGAUCAGCUUACAAUUCUGGUGGCUACUGAUGGAGAACAGAAGUUGCCCACCAUCAGUGGCACUCGUGACUUGAAGAAAGCAUUACAUAAACUUGGAGCACUUGCAAGUUUCUCCUUUAGAUAGGUUUUUAUUCUCAUUUUGGUUUCUGCUCAAGAAGAAUUGUCAGUUGCAAAUAAACUAGAAAAAACAUAACUGGAUACACCUUUCAUUUGUCAAAUCCAGCUCAUGUUUCACUCCUUGUUACACUCUUUCUUUUAGUUUUCUCAUUGCAAAAGUUAACAGAGUAGAACUUUCUUGUUUCCAUGAAUAACACAAUUCUGGUUAUUGUUGUUGGCAGAUGAUUUCUUCCAAGGAAGCAAGCUGCUUGUCAUAGAGGAAAAGCAAGCCCUGCAAGCUGACUGCUUCCCAUAUAUGGAACAAUUGUUAUAUUUAUACAAGUCCAUAUCUUGUAUACUAUAUCUUGUAUGGUGCAAGUCUUUUGGCAUCUCUGAAAUUAUACUGUCCAUAUUUGUGCUACUUUAUUCCAAUUUUCAACCAGGUUUAUUUUUUGUUGUA